rnacentral:rRNA from 1 species
UACGAAGGGGGCAAGCGUUGUUCGGAUUCACUGGGCGUAAAGGGUGCGUAGGCGGUCGGGUAAGUCUGAUGUGAAAUCUCACAGCUUAACUGUGAAACUGCAUUGGAUACUAUCCGGCUAGAGGAAUGGAGGGGAGACUGGAAUACUUGGUGUAGCAGUGAAAUGCGUAGAUAUCAAGUGGAACACCAGUGGCGAAGGCGAGUCUCUGGACAUUUCCUGACGCUGAGGCACGAAAGCCAGGGGAGCAAACGGG